rnacentral:rRNA from 1 species
UACGUAGGGUGCAAGCGUUGUCCGGAAUUAUUGGGCGUAAAGAGCUCGUAGGCGGUCUGUCGCGUCGGAUGUGAAAACCCAGGGCUCAACCCUGGGCCUGCAUUCGAUACGGGCAGACUAGAGUUCGGUAGGGGAGACUGGAAUUCCUGGUGUAGCGGUGAAAUGCGCAGAUAUCAGGAGGAACACCGGUGGCGAAGGCGGGUCUCUGGGCAGAAACUGACGCUGAGGAGCGAAAGCGUGGGGAGCAAACAGG